GCACAAGCGGUGGAGCAUGUGGUUUAAUUCGAUGCAACGCGAAGAACCUUUACCUGGUCUUGACAUCCACGGAAGUUUUCAGAGAUGAGAAUGUGCCUUCGGGAACCGUGAGCAGGUGCUGCAUGGCUGUCGUCAGCUCGUGUUGUGAAAUGUUGGGUUAAGUCCCGCAACGAGCGCAACCCUUUAUCCUUUGUUGCCAGCGGUCCGGCCGGGAACUCAAAGGAGACUGCCAGUGAUAAACUGGAGGAAGGUGGGAUGACGUCAAGUCAUCAUGGCCCUUACGACCAGGGCUACACACGUGCUACAAUGGCGCAUACAAAGAGAAGCGACCUCGCGAGAGCAAGCGGACCUCAUAAAGUGCGUCGUAGUCCGGAUUGGAGUCUGCAACUCGACUCCAUGAAGUCGGAAUCGCUAGUAAUCGUGGAUCAGAAUGCCACGGUGAAUACGUUCCCGGGCCUU
rnacentral:rRNA from 1 species